AGUUGCAUUCAUACCAGCACUAAUGAACCGGAUCUCAAGAGAACUCCGUAGUUAAGCAUGCUUGGUAGAGAGUAGUACUAGGAUGGGUGACGUACUAGGAAGUUCUCGUGUUGCACCUC
rfam:Lupinus angustifolius cultivar Tanjil contig_1795, whole genome shotgun sequence.